AUACCAGCAUGCAAAUGGUGGGCACUCAAGCAUAAGGAGUGUUGAUAAGGCAACAGAAAGACAUUAACCAUACCUAUUUUCCCAGCAUCCGUUUUCAGGUUGAAAUCCCAGUUUCUUCGCAGCUUCAUGGACAUCUUGCUUCCGGUUCGGGUUCCAGGUGAUACCAUAAUGCCAACUGGACUUCCUUGGGCAGAGGACCCCACCAUGUAUCUUGAAGCCCCACCUCCUCAGACCCCUGGCCUUCUAGGGAAAGAGAGAGAAAGUCUGGGAGUAUGGAUUGACCUGCCAACACCCAUGUUCAGCAGAGGAGCAAUUACAGAAGCCAGACCUUCUACCUUCUGUACCCCACAGUGAUCCUGGGUCCAUACUCCCAGAGAGAUAAAGAAUAGGGAAGCUAUCAAGGGAAGGGAUUGGAUAUGGAGCUGGGAGUGUGCAUUGUGUGGAAAUGUACCCCUCUUAUCCUAUGGUCUUGUCAAUAUUUCCAUUUUAUAAAUAAAAAUAAAUAAAUAAAUAAAACAGGUUCUUGAAUAG